AACGAACGCUGGCGGCAUGCCUAACACAUGCAAGUCGAACGAGACCUUCGGGUCUAGUGGCGAACGGGUGCGUAACGCGUGGGAACCUGCCCUUAGGUUCGGAAUAACUCCCCGAAAGGGGUGCUAAUACCGGAUAAUGUCUUCGGACCAAAGAUUUAUCGCCUUUGGAUGGGCCCGCGUUGGAUUAGCUAGUUGGUAGGGUAAAAGCCUACCAAGGCGACGAUCCAUAGCUGGUCUGAGAGGAUGAUCAGCCACACUGGGGCUGAGACACGGCCCAGACUCCUACGGGAGGCAGCAGUGGGGAAUAUUGGACAAUGGGCGAAAGCCUGAUCCAGCAAUGCCGCGUGAGUGAUGAAGGCCUUAGGGUUGUAAAGCUCUUUUACCCGGGAUGAUAAUGACAGUACCGGGAGAAUAAGCGCCGGCUAACUCCGUG
rnacentral:rRNA from 1 species